GGAGUGAGGCGAGUGGAGGACAGAGGAGUUGGUGGCAGUUGGCAGAUUAGGAGAGCUGUUGAGUUGAUUAUUUUCUCAGUUUCUUAUUUUGAUUUCAUUUAUUUGAUUGAUUUGAUUCAUUUUGAUUUAUUAUUUUAGUUUUUUGUUUUAACACUUAAAUUUUAAUUUUUUGUUCUUUAUUUUAAUAUUUUUUAUUUUAGAUGUUUAUGUUGUGCACAUUUGUGCACAUUUUGUAUAUAUUUGGUAUACAUUUUGUACAUAGAGGGGUAGUAAGGGCUAGGUGUCGGGUUGGGGUUAGGCUUAGGGCUGGGGUUGGGGUCAGAGUUAGGCUUGGAUGGGCAUUUUAGAUAGCUAGUUUAGAGAGGAGGGUGGGAUUUUUUCCUGGACAAAAUGGGCAGGCUGUAAGUAGGAUUCCUCCCCUUUCUCUUGCUCCCCUGGGGGGGUGAGUCCUGGGGUCCCCUGCACAGUCUUGGCUCUCUGGAAAUUGACCCAGUCCGUCUUCUCCAGAGAGCUCAGCUCCUCCCCACUCUUUCCCUGCCUUCCCCUUUUCUCUCCCCUCUCAUCAUCCGCUUUUAUUAGGACAUUCCUAGCCCACUUUCCUCCCAGGAGCUCAAAGUGGCCUUCAUGGUUCUCCCUGCCACCAAUUUUUAUCUUCCCAGCAGCCCUGCAAAGUAGGCUAGGCUGGCCCAAGGUCCACCAGGGAGCUUCAUGGCUGAGUGGGGAUUUGAACCCUGCUCUCCCAGGUCCUCCUAGUCCAGCCCUCCAACCGCUACACCUCUGCCUGGCUCCAUCUUGCAUCUCUCCAUCUGCCCAAUGCCAUUGGCCUUCUCCCCCUUCAUGGGGGUCUCUCUGGUUCCAAGGAAGACUCCACCACCUUCCUCUCUUUGCCCCCCACACAGACACAAACACACCCCACCCACUGGGGCUCCUGAGUCGCUCUCUCCCUGCUGCUCCUCUCUAUAAUAAUAAUAAUAAUUUAUUAUUUAUAUCCUGCCCAUCUGACUGGGUUUUCCCAGCCACUCUGGACGGCUUCCAACAGAAUAUUAAAAUACAACAGUCUAUUAAACAUUAAAAGCUUCCCUAAACAGGGCUGCCUUCAGAUGUCUUCUAAAAUGUCGGAGCCAGCUUUAUGACUCCCACACUAAAAGUCUGGUAAUUGUUUUUCUCUUUGACAUCUGGUGGGAGGGUGUUCCACAGGGCGGGUGCCACCACCGAGAAGGCCCUCUGCCUGGUUCCCUGUAACCUGGCUUCUCGCAGCGAGGGAACCGCCAGAAGGCCCUCAGAGGCAGCGUCUAACCCCUUCUUUCUCUCUCGCCAGCAUCGUGAGUCCAACUCCCUGAAAUGCAAGAAUCUUGGACUACAACUCCCAUCAGCAGAGCUGGAAACUAGCAUCCAGAACAUCUGGAGGCGCACCAGGCUGAGAAAGGCUAAGCUAUGCGAAGGCAGGGGUCAGCAACAUGCAGCCCAUAGGCCGGAUGUGGCCCACCAAGACUGUUUUACCAGCCCCACGAGCUGCCUGCAAACCAAGCUCAGCAAGUCCUCCAUGUGCUGCGCUAAAGUAGCGCAUCGCAGCGCGGGGACUCACAUAGUGGCGCCGGAAAUGGCGUCUGCGCAUGCACAGAUACCAGAAAUGGCGUCUGCGCAUGUCCAGACGCCGGAAAUUGCUUCUGCGCAGGCGCGAUUUUCAGCGUCUGGGCAUGUGCAGAAGCGAUUUCUGGCAUCGUGCUGCGCCAGUCCAGCCCACAAUCUCCGUGGGAGUGAUCCUGGCUGUCAGAUGCUGUUGUGGUUGCUCGAGAGCAAACAGGCGAGACUCCAACCUCUCUUUUCCAGGCUUUAUUAUCAAUACAAACUACCGUAUUUUUCGCUCUAUAACACGCACCCGACCAUAACAUGCACGUAGUUUUUAGAGGAGGAAAAUCCGUAGGCAUGCCACCCGUAAGCAUUCCCUCCAUAACACGCACAGACAUUUCCCCUUACUUUUUAGGAGGAAAAAAGUGAGUGUUAUGGUGCAAAAAAUACGGUAUUUACAGCGCAGAACGUCGCAAGUCCAUGCCUGCUCAGUCGCUAGCAGAAUCUGGGCGCGGCUGGUCUUUGUUCCUCCCCCAGCAUAACAGUUGUCUGACCCCCAUCCUUCUCCUCCCCUCUAUGCGCCCAGACCUCCUGCGCAGAGUGGGUGCUGGCAAAGGGGGACUUCCCUCCUCUCCGGUUUGCUUAGGUUCAGUGUUGGGGCGCUCCCUAGCAUCCCCUGGUCGCUGCACCUCCUCUCCACUAGAGGUGGGGCUUUCCUCCUCGCCAGAGGAGGAACAGCUUCCCAAGAUCUUCCGAGGCUCCCUGUAACGCAACUGCCCUUCCACCUCUCUCCUCUGAGCUGAUGGCAGUUCCCUGACACUGCCCAUGGCCGGUAAAGCUUGUGGCCCCUUUGCUAAGGCAACAACUUAUUGCAGCGCUUAAGCGAAACCUGCAACGCUGGCAGAGGAAGGACGGUUGAGAAUAAUUGGACCCAACCGCAGAGCCCACAUCCCUGCUGAGUUUUGAGCUAAUAGUCAGCAGAUAGCCUGGAGCGGAUAAAAAACCCUGCUAAAACUUCCGCACUCCUUGCCUACGGGAGCGACUUUAAUUAUUGUUAUAAAUUCGCUUUAAGGGUGGGGAGGGGAGCUCAGCACUUCGCUUAAUUCCAAGCCGUGCAAAAGGCUGGCAUGUUUAGAGGCUUGCCUGCCCUUCCUUAGCAGAAGAUAGCACACACACACAUCCCGCUUUGUAAUCAACUGGUUAUGUCGCAGGGUUAACCUAAUUCCUUCUGACGAUUUCACUUGGCAAGUCCCGUCAGCGCACAAAAUGGGUGGGGGGAAGCUUUAGAUAGCGAGACUGCUUGCCUGGAAUAGAGGGCUUAAGUAUUUAAGAGUUGCCAAGUGGUUAUUAAACAACUUUAUUAUC
rnacentral:lncRNA from 1 species